GUCCCAAAGUCAUAGGGGAGUGCAUGGGACGGCAUACGUAUUGAGUUGCAUACAUUUCCAUGCAUUCAGCAGUUUACAGAGGACCGAGUGUUGUGAGCAUAAUAUCUCAUUCCAUAUUCUCCAUGGUGCUGGGACAUUUCCUCACUGCAAUUAGGACUCACUGUCAGAUGUUUAUUUCCUUUCUUUCAACCCAUGAAGGCUGGUGAAGGGUGAAGAUGGGG